AGCGCAGUUUUCUACAGGUUGUGUGAUUCAUGAGACGUUUCAAGUCAGAGAUGUAAAGUACUGGGAAGCUGCAGUGACUUCGAUAAAACAACAGCAAGGAUGGACUUAUACCGCAAGUGCUAUAAGAACACUUGUGAAUCAGCUGUUCGUUGGUAGCGGAGGAGCAAGACCAUCAGCCAGAAAAGUCCUGCUUGUUAUCACAGAUGGUGAAUCAACCGAUUCAGCUUAUUUGAGUGAAGCUGUUCAACAAGCACAAAAAAAAGAUAUAACACGUUACGCUAUUGGGGUUGGAAACGCUUUUCG